rnacentral:rRNA from 1 species
AGUGAACGCUGGCGGUAGGCCUAACACAUGCAAGUCGAACGGCAGCACAGGAGAGCUUGCUCUCUAGGUGGCGAGUGGCGGACGGGUGAGGAAUACAUCGGAAUCUGCCCAGUCGUGGGGGAUAACGUAGGGAAACUUACGCUAAUACCGCAUACGACCUUCGGGUGAAAGAGGGGGAUCGCAAGACCUCUCGCGAUUGGAUGAGCCGAUGUCGGAUUAGCUAGUUAGCGGGGUAAUGGCCCACCAAGGCGACGAUCCGUAGCUGGUCUGAGAGGAUGAUCAGCCACACUGGAACUGAGACACGGUCCAGACUCCUACGGGAGGCAGCAGUGGGGAAUAUUGGACAAUGGGCGCAAGCCUGAUCCAGCCAUACCGCGUGGGUGAAGAAGGCCUUCGGGUUGUAAAGCCCUUUUGCUGGGAAAGAAAUCUUUCAGGCUAAUACCCUGGGAGGAUGACGGUACCCAAAGAAUAAGCACCGGCUAACUUCGUG